CCUACGGGUGGCAGCAGUGAGGAAUAUUGGUCAAUGGCCGGAAGGCUGAACCAGCCAAGUAGCGUGAGGGACGACUGCCCUAUGGGUUGUAAACCUCUUUUAUAAGGGAAGAAUAAAUGCUACGUGUAGCAUGAUGCCUGUACCGUAUGAAUAAGCAUCGGCUAACUCCGUGCCAGCAGCCGCGGUAAUACGGAGGAUGCGAGCGUUAUCCGGAUUUAUUGGGUUUAAAGGGAGCGUAGGCGGUUUUUUAAGUUAGUGGUUAAACGUCGGGGCUUCACCUUGAUUUGCCAUUAGUACUGUACGACUCGAGUUCAGACGAGGUAGGCGGAAUAAGUUAAGUAGCGGUGAAAUGCUUAGAUAUAACUUAGAACUCCGAUAGCGAAGGCAGCUUACCGGACUGCGACUGACGCUGAUGCACGAGAGCGUGGGUAGCGAACAGGAUUAGAUACCCGAGUAGUC
rnacentral:rRNA from 1 species